AUGGCAAAAACCACCCUAUUUUCAGCCAAAGCAUGCAAAAACUUCUGGACAAGUACAUGGACAGAAGGGCAACAAGAACAAGAAGAUGAAGGCCGGAUUUCACAACAAAGACAAACGUUAAGUGUAAGUGAAAAUAUAACAGUGAUAAACACAGUAGACAAUUUUACAGGAGGGAAAUUAAAACUUUUUGUACAAAAUUGGGAAAAGUUAACAAGUGAUGCUUUUAUAUUAAAUGCAGUGAAGGGAUACAAGAUUGAACUAGAUGAAAUCCCAAAACAAAAUUUUAGACCAUCUCCAAUAGUUUUUAAUGAACAAGAAAACAAUUUGAUUACAAUGGAAGUUAAUAAAUUCUUGAAAAAAGGGAUUAUUAGGGUGGUAAUGAAAACAGAAAAAGAGGAAUAUUUUUCAAAUAUAUUUAUUCGCCCUAAGAAAGACAAUACAAUUCGAAUGAUUUUGAACUUGAAAAACUUCAAUGAAAGUGUGUCAAAAAUUCAUUUCAAAAUGGAAACAUUGGUACGAGCUUUAACAAACAUACAACAAAAUGAUCAUUUUGCAUCGAUUGAUUUAAAAGACAGUUAUUUUAGUGUACCAGUUCAUGAACAGGACUGCAAAUAUUUAAAAUUUAUGUGGAAUGAUAUCGCUUAUCAAUUUUGUGUAUUACCACAAGGAUUAUCAACCAGUCCAAGAAUUUUUACAAAAUUACUUAAACCAGUAUACUCUUUUUUGAGAAAAAUGGGUCAUAUAAAUGUUCCUUAUAUAGACGAUAGCUUACUUAUAGCACGCUCUUAUGAAGACUGUCAGAACAAUGUAAAACAUACUGUGGAAUUAGUUGAUAGUUUAGGUUUUACAGUACACCCAAAGAAAUCUGUCUUUACACCAACUAAAGAAAUAACUUUUUUAGGAUUUAUAAUUAAUUCUGAAAAUAUGACAGUUAGAUUGACACAAGAAAGGAUUUUAAAUUUACAAGAUUUAUGUGUUAAUGCAUUGCAUUCGAAGGAAAUAACUAUUCGAAGUUUUGCUACAAUUAUAGGAAAAAUGGUUGCCAGUGAACCAGGUGUACUAUAUGCUCAAUUGUAUUACAAAGAUUUAGAAAUAUAUAAAGAGAAAGUGUUAAAAAAGUUUUAUGGGAAUUAUGAUAGAAGUAUUUGUUUACCAAUUCAUGUGAAAACAAUAUUUAAUUGGUGGAUAAAAAAUCUUCCUUCUAGUUACAAACCAAUAAUUCAAAAUGGUCCUGAUAUUAUAAUGUUCAGUGAUUCAAGUAAAACUGGCUGGGGUGGAAUUAAUAAAACCACUGGGAAGAAAACAGAAGGUUUUUGGUCAGCAGAAGAAAGAGAAAUGCAUAUUAAUGUUUUAGAAUUAAAGGCAGCUUUCUUAACUUUACAAUCAUUGGCUGGGAAUAUUUCACAAAAGCAUAUUCGAAUGAACUUAGAUAAUACAGUAGCUAUUUCUUAUAUUGAUAAUUUUGGAGGAAAAAUUACAAAUUUACAUAUUCUAGCAAAAGAAAUAUGGUUCUGGUGUUUAGAACGAAAAUUAUGGAUUAGUGUGGCACAUAUAGCUGGAAAGCUAAAUAUAGAAGCCGAUAAACUAUCUAGAAAAUUAAAUGACGACAUGGAAUGGACAUUAAAAACAGAAUUAUUUGAAAAAUUACAGAGUACUGUAGGGACAAUGCAUAUAGAUUUAUUCGCUAGUAGGCUUAAUAAUAGGACAACUCAGUAUGUUUCAUAUAAGCCAGACCCACAUGCAAUAGCAAUUGAUGCUUUUACUAUAAAGUGGACUAAUAAUAAUUUUUAUUAUAUCUUUCCUCCUUUCAGUGUCAUAGGACAGGUGCUUCAGAAAAUCAUCAAGGACAAGUUAGACAAAGUAGUAUUGAUAGCACCACUUUGGCCAACACAAAUAUGGUUUCCGCAAUUAUUACAUCAGAUCAGUCAACAAUCAUACAUCCUGCCGAAAAACAGUCUCUUUCUACCACAGGAUCUGAAACGAAUUCAUCCAAUUUCAAACCUCCGUCUGGGAGCUUUUAUCUUGUCCGGGAAAGCUUGGAAAAUAAAGGACUUUCAACACUCACUGCCGACAUCAUUUUACAAUCUUGGAGGCAAUCCACAGGAAAACAAUAUGGGACUUAUUUCAAAAGAUGGAUGUGUUUUUCAAAUAAAAGACAAACUGAUCCACUUGAUCCAUCUAUAAACACUGUGCUGUCCUUCUUAUCAUCACUUUAUGAUAGUGGAUUAAGUUACAGUGCAAUCAACACUGCUAAAUCAGCAAUAUCUUCAAUUUGUUCUGUGACAAGUGGGAUAGACAUUGGGAAACAUAAACUAGUAACUCGAUAUAUGAGGGGAAUUUUCAAUGCUAGACCGUCUCUUCCCAAAUAUACAGAAACAUGGGAUGUAAAUAUAGUUUUAGAUUAUUUGAAAACAUUACCUGCAAAUGAGGAAUUAACAUUAUUACAACUAUCACAAAAGCUAGCAUUAUUGCUUAUGCUGCUUAGUGCGCAACGCUGUCAAACUGUUCAUUUGAUAAAACUGAAUAAUAUUACUAUUUCUAAUGACAACAUGAAAGUGUACAUAGUAGACUUAGUUAAACAAUCCAAACCAGGGAAGCACAUUGGACCAUUGGAAUUUAAUAGACAUGAUGAUAAUAAACUAUGUGUUAUUGUAGCAAUGGAAGAAUAUUUGAAAAGAACUUCAAAACUCAGGGGACAGGAAAAAUCCCUUUUCAUUUCAUGUGUUAAACCUUUUAAAACUGUAACAAAAAGUACAAUAUCACGUUGGAUAAAACAUUUAUUAGGAAAAGCAGGAAUUGAUAUAAAAGUGUAUGGGACACAUAGCUGUCGAUCAGCUUCAUCGUCUAGCGCGGCAGCACAUGGGAUUCCAUUAAACAAUAUACUGAAAACAGCCGGUUGGAGCUCAGCACAAACUUUUUACAAAUUUUAUUUUAAACCUAUUCAAACACAAACAUUAAGUGAUAGCUUAUUGGAAAACAAAUAAUAACAUUUAUUAUGUUUUUGUUAUAAAUGUAUAUUCAUGUACAUAUAUAUAGUUGGA
rnacentral:sRNA from 1 species